GUUAGGGUUAGGGUUAGGAGUAGGUUCAGGUUUAGGGUGCCAAUUCAUGUACCUGACGUUUGGAGUGUGGGGAAGAUUGUUAGGAUUGUGGUCCUUCUUUUUGGAAGGGUCAUGGAUAGUGCAGAAAUAGUGGUACUUGAGGAUGACUUAUUGUUCUGGUAGGGUUAGGGCUAGGGUUAGGGUUAGGGUCAGGGUGAUAGAUAGCAUUGAAAUUGAAAUGCCUGUGUCUUCCAGUGUGGGUUGGAAAGUUAGUAUUAGCGUAAGCUCGGGGGGACGGGGAGGGAUAAGGUCACUUGUCAACCGCCUGGGAAUGGUGAUUUGGUCCUGCGCCUUAGGGUUAGGGUUAGGGUUAGGAGUAGGUUCAGGUUUAGGGUACCAAUUCAUGUACCUGACGUUUGGAGUGUGGGUAUGAUUGUUAGGAUUAGGGUUCUUCUUUUGGUAAGGGUCAUGGAUAGUGCAGAAAUAGCGGUACUUGAGGAUGACUUAUUGUUCUGGUAGGGUUAGGGCUAGGGUUAGGGUUAGGGUAAGGGUGAUAGAUAGCACUGAAAUUGAAAUGCCUGUGUCUUCCAGUGUGGGUUGGAAAGUUAGUAUUAGCGUAAGUUCGUGGGGACGGGGAGGGAUAAGGUCACUUGUCAACCACCUGGGAAUGGUGAUUUGGUCCUGCGCCUUAGGGUUAGGGUUAGGGUUAGGAGUAG
ensembl:lncRNA